AGUGACAAAUCACACAGAGAUCUGUUUGCUCCCAGGGCCAUAGCUAAACUGGACUUCCAGUACUUUCUACUACCAGUGCCUAUUUUCCGUGCCACCACCAUUUACUUGGCAGGGUCCCUGGAAUCUCUGACUGGAACUCUGAAUGAACACUCUUCUUGUUUGAAUCCCGCUGAUCCCCUGACUGUAACUGGAUCAGCUGACAUCACCAGUGUGCUGAGCCCUGUGAAAUGUCUCUGCAGUUGGACUCCGCCCUUGAGUCAGAGCUUGGUAAACCCUGGAGAGAAGCAGCCAUCCACAUGCUCUGCAUGACUCAUGCCUCUGAUGCCUGGAGACUGUUGCUAUGUGAGACAUCCUGUGAAGUGUUUACUUAUUACAGCGGGGCCAAGAGAGGGCCCUGAAGACCCGAGAUCUGGAUGCAUGGGCUCUCUUGGUUCCUGGACCCUGGACACUAGAGGUAGACUGAGCAGAGUUCUCCAGAGAACACCGCUGGACUGCGCUACGUCUUCCCCAGACCCUACAACCUACCUAUCCCUUCAUUUGAAAAUGCAUCAUCAGUCGCUGGUAAGGCAAAGACAACCCUAUAUGUCUGUCUGGGGAAAGGUGCAGGAAAUUCUGCCCAUCACUCCAAACACUCUGCAGAUGGUAUAUGAACUUGAUACCUGGCACAAUGCAGGGUUAUAUUUGAAAGCAACAUAUUUCUGUUCAUUUUGUAAAUCAAUAAAUUUUUGAAUCAUUUAUCCGAUAGAUGACCUAAUUUUUAAAACAAUUACCAUAGAGCUUCAAAACAGAUUUAAAACUUUGAAGUGAAAUCAACUUAAAGGCUACGUUUUCAUAUGCCAACAUGUCACACCUGUAUCUCAGGGUAUAAUGAAGCCUUCAGCAGAACAGUGACCCUUGAUUAUGAAGAACUUCAUGGAACUGGAUCCACCAAAGGAGCCUCAGAGUCUCUAAGGAUACAGCGGACAAGUUUGUAAUUUCAAAAUUGUUCAGGAGACCCACGAAACAAAAGGCUGAGAAUCAUUGGAUCCUUACAGAAAACGGACAGAAGGGGGCAGAGGCACCUACACAGAGUUAACGCAGUGAACAGAUAAAGUUCAGGACACAGUGUACCACAGUUGAGCACCGUUCCAAAGGAGUAAGUACUGAAAUGGCUACAGGCUACCAGAGAGGAAAAGAUGGUGCUGUUCCCUUCCUCCAGCACGCCCUCUGCCAUGUGGCCAAGGAGGAAGUUCAUUGCAAACUCACAAUGUAUCCUAUUUGCCACUGUCUUUCUUUGCAAAACAAACAAACAAACAAACAAACAAAAUUAAUUGAAGAAUGUUUUCAACACUCAUCAUGUCUCCAUUGUCUGUAAAUUCAUCUUCAAAAAUACAAGUGGCAUCAUCAUUUAAGCCUUAAAAUUUCCAUCUUGAGAUUUUAUGUUAAAUUUCCUUAGAUAUAUUUUCCUAAAAUAUUUUUCAAUUGUUUGUAUACACCAUGCUGAAACUCGGGAAGGUCUACUUUCAGAGUGCCAGGAACACUAUAAUUAAAUCAGUUCUGUGUACUCUUAAUAAGUGUUUUGAAAUGUUCUGGAGCAAUCUAACUUAGAGAGAAAAUGUAAGUAAGAUGAAUUCAGCGAAGUCUCCCCGUCACCACAAAAGGUACUCUAGGAAAACUAACUCUGAUGAAUUUGUAUGUCCUCCAUAACUCCUGUGACUUUAAGGGAAACUAAACUAGGAUGCAAACCCUAAAGUUGUCUGUCAGCUAGGAUUUCGAUAACAGUAGCUCAUUGCUAUUGUCUGAACAGGAGGUGAGGCUUUGCCUUCACAUGGUCCAUUAAUGACCCAUGAACCAUUUCUACAAUUAUUAGGCCAAAUAAUUUCACAAAAGUAAAGUUAACUCAGUUAAGAUUGGAUUUAUGUCAAGGACUUAGUAAGAUCCUUUGGCAGAUUAAAAGUAAAAUGAGUCACAACUCUUCCAGUGGUACUGAAUGAAAGUUUGUUAUCUGUGUAAGAAAAGGUAGAUUGUUUUUCUACCUCAAACCUACAAAAAAUUAAAAUUAGCUACUGUGGAAAAGAUGGAAGGAGCAAACUUGAGCAUUUUGGAAGAAUAAAUAUUCUACAUCAUAUAAUAUAUAUUUUGCAUAAAAAUUCUUAGUGUUCAGAAAAGAGAGAAUGACUUUAAACCAAACCAUAAUAAUAAUAACAAUUAAUAAUAAUAAUACAAGGCAUAGGAUCAAUGCAUAAAUUGAGUUCCAUACGGUGAACAUUUGGCCAAAUGCUCCAUCGGAAGGAAAACAAGUCCUUGGUGGGCAGAACAGAUUGACAGUGUUUACAAUACAGGAUGCAUCAGUGGUUGAGUUAUUAAGAGACCAAGAAAGGAGCAAGUCAGAAGGAUAAGAAUUCACAGAAAAAUUAUUAUUAUUAUUAUUUUUUUACAGCCGAUAGAGAGGUACAGUAGUGUAAAUGAGGAAAAAAAGGGGUAAUGGAGCUAUCUGAGAGUUGGGGCAGGAAUUAAGAGCAUGGUUGGCUCUGUCAGAGAAUCAGUUCUCAGCUUUCAGCACUCAUGUCAUGUGCUUCACAAUUGCCUGUAACUUGAACUCUAAAGAAUUCGAUACCCUCUUUUGGCCUCUGGGGAAACCUUUCCAUAUGUGAUGUGUACACACCGCCCCCCCCACAUGUUUGCAUGUACACAAAUAGAAUAAAUACUAAAAAUAAACAUGCAGGAUCCUAAUGGAAUAGAUGAUUGUAUUGCCACAUAAUUUUAAAUUUUAAAAUAUUAUUCUUUGGAUUUAUAUAUCUUUCAUAUUUUGCUUAUUAGAAGAGUCUUGUUUAUCCACCAAUUUAAAUAAAACCUCUCUAAGGAUGCCCUUUCUGCACAUUAAGGCUUUCAUGAUAGUGAAAAGAAUUAAAUUAAAUAUGUUUAUUUAAAUUUUUUCCAUAGUGAUGUUUUAUAAAACACAGGAAUGAAACUGAAUUGACAUAAAAAAGAUACUCUUUGCUACACAAAUCACUGUACCUGAAAUUUUAGGCAUUUUGGCAGAGACCAGGAGCAAUCUAAAUGGAAAUAAAGUUGGUUUGUAAUUGAAAAUUUGCAUCUGAGUAAACUCUAGCCUCGGAGAAUACUGGAGAGUAAAUUGAAUAUUCUGAACUAAAGAAUAAUUCCUAGAACCGAAAAUCUGAGACCAAUGAAUGGAUGAAAAGACUCUGAUAUCAGUGUUCCUCUGUGAGUAUGUAAUAAGAUGGUUAAGCUCAAGAGUGGCACAGACUUUAGACUUGCUAUGCUGAGGAGAACAUAGGUGUUCUCUACAGUAUAAGGCAUAGAUUUAAAAACAGCCAGGCACCUUAUGCAGACACCAUGUUUCAAAAUUGAUCUCAUGCACAUUGACUAACCUUUUCAACUUUCUAGCAUCUCUCUGUUUUCUCUUUCUGGAUGUACAUAUGUAUGAAUGCAUGUUUAUAUCUGGAAAUCUUUGACCUAUCAAUAACCCAUGCAUUGUAUAUCAAUCUAUUAAUUUUUUAACACAUAUCUGCUUAUCUAACAUCUAUCAAUCUACGUAUUAUCUCUCUCUUUAUAAGUCAUUCAUUUAUCUGCCAUCUAGCUCUGUCUGUCUGCCUGUCUGCUAUCUAUCUAUCUAUCUAUCAUGUCUCUGCAUAUCAUAUACCACCUAUAUAUUAAAUUACAUUUAUUUUUACUAGUGUAAAUAUCAAACAUUACCCACAGGAAUGUUAUAUGUUGUUUCAGUGCAUAUGUGCCUUGUGUACUGUUUGAUCAAAUUCAAUAUAUCUACUCUGAUAGUCAUCAUUUAUUUAGAAUAAAAAUCACAUUUAAAUGUUUGUACUUUUGCUGUACUUUAUUUGCAAGUUUGAUAGCAUUGAAGAAAUAUUACUGUAAUUCCCAAUGUUCUUGUAUAGAUUGUCCCUGAGAGUCUAUCCAUGUCCUCAUCUCUAGAAACUUCCCAACCUUCUCUGCAUCUUAGUUGAAUAAAACAGACAAAAGACGGUGAUAGACUUCUCUAAUAUUUAACUUGAAUUCAGAACAAGUCCUUAUAGUAGGCUUACAAGAAACUCCUUUGAAACUUCUCCUUUGGCAGAUUCUGUGUCCUGAAUUCUGUGGAUGACUCAGUGUUGUGGGAAGCCCAGCACAUCAGGGUGGAGCCAGCAAGACUUUCUAUCUUAUGGUGGGAGGAGACAGAGUGCCAUAAUCUUUUAAUUAUUAGUUUCAAAUGAAUGGGUGCAGAAAGAAGGAGACAUUAUGAUGCCAUUGUCUGUGUGCAAUGUCCCUGCAGCUGUAGUCAACUUCAGGGGUGCAGCCGACACUGUCCUUAUUGCUUCUGUGUUUACUUCCUAGAGUUGCCUAUUAAUUAAUUUUCUUAUUACUGACUGUGAGGAAAUAAUUGUUUGUUGCCUUGUAGAUAUGAAUGAUGUCUCAUUGUUUAAAGUGUUAACAUUACAGAUAGAUAAUACACAAAUUUGUAUACCAUUUAUCUUGUCACUUAUGAAAUCACCUUGAUUGAAGGACUGCAUGCACUCUCCAAAUUUCUAGAAUAAAAGUCAAUGAAAGUGUUUGAAGACCUCUUUAUCUGUAGAAAAUAAAUUUGAAAGCAGAACAUUU